rnacentral:rRNA from 1 species
UACGGGGGGUGCGAGCGUUGUCCGGAAUCACUGGGCGUAAAGGGCGCGUAGGUGGCCUGAUAAGGGUGUGGUGAAAGUCCGGGGCUCAACCCCCGGAUCUGCCGUGCCGACUGUCAGGCUAGAGUACUGUAGGGGCAGGCGGAAUUCCGGGUGUAGCGGUGGAAUGCGUAGAGAUCCGGAGGAAGACCGGUGGCGAAGGCGGCCUGCUGGGCAGUUACUGACACUGAGGCGCGACAGCGUGGGGAGCAAACAGGG